AUGCGGAGCUGGGGGGUGCGAGGACUGGAACUGAGAACCAUUCUAAUUAACAUUCAGUAAACACAUCUGGAGAGCAUGACCUGAGUGUCCAUAACCUCCCCAUCCACCACUUCAACUACAUCCCACUGUUGAUCGAGCCCAGUCACAUGACCACUGCAUCGACUCACUCCCUCUCAGAGAUAAACAGUAACAGCACAUUCAUCAUACAAUGCCAGUGCCAUCGUCACAGUAGCAUGCCAUAAAUCAUAAACGCAAAAGGCCAAUAAAAUUCAUUGACAUGUUUUUUUUCUUCUAAUUUGUUUCUGACAGGCUGAGACAUAUUGAAGAUCUAUCAUAUACAUCCAACCGAGAGAGCGUAACUGACGGAAAAUGGCAUUGACCCUGCUCUCUGCGGUCAUUAAUUUCAAUCAGGCGCUCAACAUGGAACCUGGACCUCUGUUUGCCAUGGCUCAGGAGAGGCAAACAAGACAUGGCAGUUUCUCAGGAUAUCAUCACAGCUUCCUAGCUCAACACAGGCAAAAAUAAAGUUUCAAAAACUGGAAUAGGAAUAUGGCUGUAUUAACAUCAACAUUGCUCCUCUUAGUCUUGCAGACAAAGUAAUAGACAUGUAUGGUUGUACUAAUUUACUUUUUUUUUUUUUUUUACAUUUUUAGGAAUAAAAGAGUGACUCCCUUAUCUUGGAAAGAGUAAUUAGCAUUUUUGUAGUAUCCUAAACAUACACAAUAAUUAAAUAUUUACAGAGUUUUUUGCAUAUUGUAAAAGCUGCACAAAAGUUUGAAAUGACUGCACUGUGAUGGAAAUGACUCCUGAUAAGUAAUUAGAAAUUAUUUAUGAAUAUUUCAGUAUUAAUGAAUAUUUUUUCUUUAUAAAGUAUUGCAAAUGUAAAAAUGUUAUGAUGUAUUUUUAAAGUCUGCAUGAACCGGAAGUUGCUUUAUAUCUUUAUAUCAGUGUAGUGACGUAUUUCCAGGUGAAACAGAAUAUUGAAUAGAGGGAAUGGUUUUAUUUUUGCGCUCCUCCGCUCUGUCUCUCACUCAUAGCAACCUAAUGGUUGGAGGGGCGUGUUUAAGGAUAUUCUGCACAAGCCGUCAAACUGACAUCAUCAGAAAAAGGAAUGCCAUUCCAGAGCGGAAGCAAAUGUUCAGAUUUUGAUUAAAGAUUACCAAGACAAACAAUUUUUUUUCAGCGGAUUAACUUGAUCCUAAAAAUUCAGCUUUGCAUCACAGAAAUAAAAAUAAUUUAAAAGUAUAAUAAUUUAAAAACAAUUAUUUUAAAUUGUAAUAAUACAUCACAAUAUAAAUUUUUUUUUCUGAUUUUUGAUCAAAUAAAUGCAGGCUUGAUGAAGCAGUAAGAAAACUUCUUUCAAAAAACAUUU
rnacentral:lncRNA from 1 species